rnacentral:lncRNA from 10 species
UUUAAAUUGCUCUGUUUGGGCAAUUAAUCAAAAUAUACAGGGGUGCUAAAAUAUUAAUAUUUUGGCUAUUCCAAGAUUAUUUUCUUCAUGAAGGAGUCUAGCAUGCCACAGAGAGUUCUGCUUCUUGGGCCACAAGACUGUCCGUUAGUCCUCAAACCCUCAGUACCAUGGGCUGCAAGAAUGGAUCAAGUUCUGCUGAGUAGAUAUAAUUGACUUCAACUUAGAAGUGAAAUGUGGUGAAUAGGUUAAUGAAAAGAAAUUCCAGUCCCCAUGUCUAAGUAAAAUCAUCUUUGAAGAGGCUGUUUAAAUGACUGCUCUGCAGACAGUUCCUCCAAAAGAAGAAAGAGAGAAGAAUUUAUCCAGUGGUUUCCAUAUCCAGCAGAUCAAUAUUUUUUUGCCAUGGUUACUCAUGACUUGGUGUAGACAGGGAAGCCCAGAGCUAGAGGCCAGUGACUUAUGGAGUGAGCAGAGUGAAGGCAUUGUCUGGCGGGUCUGCAUCAUUGUAAUGAGAACUCAUGUAAAGCUACUCAUCAGGACAACUGAAAAGAGAAGAGACAGGAAAUUUGUGUUAGAGAAGGAGUAUACCAGUUAGAAAAGAAAAAGAAAAAAGAAAAACAGAAAAAGGUAAAAUUGG